rnacentral:misc_RNA from 1 species
AACGCACCUUGCGCCUUUUGGUAUUCCGAAAGGCAUGCCUGUUUGAGUGUCAUGAAAUCUCAAUCCCCUCGGGUUUUUCGACCUGGGUGGGACUUGGACUUGGGUGUCUGCCGGUAACACGGCUCGCCUCAAAUGACUUAGUGGAUCUCUCUGCAUCCGUGUCAGACGUAAUAAGUUUCGUCUCGACCCUUGCUUCUGAGUCUGCUCACAACCCGCCAUCGCGCACUUUAGACUCUGACCUCAAAUCAGGUAGGACUACCCGCUGAACUUAA